UCCGGUAUGGUGUAACGGUCAACAUUGCCGCUUUUCAGGAUUAUUACGUAAUUAAUAACCGCUCUAAAGCUGCGCGGCAGCUCGGGGUUCGAUUCCCCGUACCGGAA